rnacentral:misc_RNA from 1 species
AAGUCGUAACAAGGUUUCCGUAGGUGAACCUGCGGAAGGAUCAUUAUCGAGUUUUGAAGGGAGCUGACGCUGGUCCUUCGGGGCAUGUGCUCGCUCCCGUCGGAUCCAAUCCAACCACUGUGCACAUCAGAGGACCCGUUCCUGAGGCCAUGCAUUUGGUCGACGGGGCGGGCCUCCUCUCCUUUGUAUCACAAACCCUUGACAGUACCUAGAACGUCCAGUCGCCUGAGAAAUGGCACAACCUUAAUACAACUUUCAACAACGGAUCUCUCGGCUCUC